GAUGAAGAACGCAGCGAAAUGCGAUACGUAAUGUGAAUUGCAAAUUCAGUGAAUCAUCGAGUCUUUGAACGCACAUUGCGCCCCCUGGUAUUCCGGGGGGCAUGCCUGCCCGAGCGUCAUUGCUGCCCUCAAGCACGGCUUGUGUGUUGGGCCCCGUCCUCCGAUCCCGGGGGACGGGCCCGAAAGGCAGCGGCGGCACCGCGUCCGGUCCUCGAGCGUAUGGGGCUUUGUCACCCGCUCUGUAGGCCCGGCCGGCGCUUGCCGAUCAACCCAAAUUUUUAUCCAGGUUGACCUCGGAUCAGGUAGGGAUACCCGCUGAACUUAAGCAUAUCAAUAGCGGAGGA
rnacentral:misc_RNA from 1 species